rnacentral:rRNA from 1 species
AGUGAACGCUGGCGGUGGCCUAACACAUGCAAGUCGAACGGCAGCACAGUAAGAGCUUGCUCUUACGGGUGGCGAGUGGCGGACGGGUGAGGAAUACAUCGGAAUCUACUUUUUCGUGGGGGAUAACGUAGGGAAACUUACGCUAAUACCGCAUACGACCUACGGGUGAAAGCAGGGGAUCUUCGGACCUUGCGCGAUUGAAUGAGCCGAUGUCGGAUUAGCUAGUUGGCGGGGUAAAGGCCCACCAAGGCGACGAUCCGUAGCUGGUCUGAGAGGACGAUCAGCCACACUGGAACUGAGACACGGUCCAGACUCCUACGGGAGGCAGCAGUGGGGAAUAUUGGACAAUGGGCGCAAGCCUGAUCCAGCCAUACCGCGUGGGUGAAGAAGGCCUUCGGGUUGUAAAGCCCUUUUGUUGGGAAAGAAAAGCAGCAGGUUAAUACCCCGCUGUUCUGACGGUACCCAAAGAAUAAGCACCGGCUAACUUCGUG